AACCCGACAUAAAAUACAACACGCGCUCAAGGUUCUCUCGGCGCUUGUUAGAAGUAUCUCCUGUAAAAUAAAUAAGUACACAAACUUCAAUGUUGGAAGGUUAUUUAAAAGUUUUUGUGCAAAUGAACCGCAAUAAACAGAUUGGACAAGAACGAAUUCCCCUAACUUCAGCACGAUGGACCCCAAAUGGGAAAAGUAAACCCGGGCGGCCAAAGCAAACCUGGAGAAGAACUGUAGAAGCAGGGGAUAUGGGGCCUGGGACGAGGCAAGGUUGCAAAAGGCUGCAAAGAAUGGCGUCACCGUGUCGCGGCCCUAUUUCCCACUAGGAAAAGGGGUUGAGCGAGUGAGUGACCGACAAACAUUGAAAAUAAACGAUGAAAAAGAUAAACAUAUAUUCUACCUA